AGUUCAAGCAGCGAGAAACAACAGAAAAGUAUAUUUUCAAAUUAUAAAUAUUUUUUUCCUGAACUUGUGUAAGAUAAGAUUUGUAUAUAAUUAAAUUUAAAUUAAUUGUAACAAGUUCUAUAAAUUUUAAUUGUAACAAAUUUACAAGUGAAAUGAAAAAAUGAUAUUUUAAUUUUAAUUUUUUCCACUCUAGAGAGGUUAAAAAGAAAAGAGGUUAAGAAUAGGCCGUAAUUAUAGUAGAUAUAAAUUUAUAAAAACUAAUUUUCUUUUAGAAUUUCUUUCAUUAAAAUAAUUAAUUAAAAAAAAAACACGCAGUUUAAGUUAAAUUAAUUUAUAAAAAUUUAUCUUUUUUUAAUAAAUUUCUUUAAUCAGUGAUUGAAAAGACAGGCAUAAAAGAGAUGCAUAAAAAAUAUUGGAAAUUGAGAGAUAAAAAAAGUCAAAGAAUUGUUAAAAAGUCGUUGGAAAAGUUCGAGGUAAUCGAUAUACGAGUUUCCUGCUUCCAAAAAUUCUUUAAACUAUUCACGAUUCGAGAGAUAUUCUACGCACUAAAGGGAGGCAUCAACGAAGCCUGCGUUUUCCAAGAUUUUCCACUACGAUAAUUUUGAAGCUAACCCAGGAAGAAUCUUCGGGAAGAACAAGUUAAAGUAAAGUACUUAUGUACGUAAAAAAGAAGAGGAUGCAAGAAAAUGAAAGAAAAAAUUGGAUAUAAAAUGAAAGUUGAAUCGCAGUUGGAAAAUAAUUACAAUAAAAGUUAAAUAUUUCGAGCAGACAAUUUGAAAUUCUGUUUGUAUUUUGCCGAACAAGGACAAGAAUAAUAAAAAACGAAAGAGAAAGAGAGUCAAAACAUA